GCUGCCAUAGUGUACCGGUUCGCAUAGAAGCCUGUGGAGCUUUUGGAGUGGGUUCAAUUCCCACUGGCGGCC
rnacentral:tRNA from 1 species